rnacentral:piRNA from 1 species
UGACUUUUCUACAUUCUCACCAAGGCU